GUCUGAGUCCGAGCGCUCGCUGACUGAGCAGAGGAAGACAGCGCUUCAGAAGAGCUCAGAGAUUCUGGACACCAGCGGGUCCCUGAAGAACCACACAGAAGGGCUGGUGUUUAGCGUCAGUGAAGUGACCAGCAGGUUGAGUCUGGUUAGAGCGAGCGUUCAGAACGUCACACAGCUGCUCCCAGAAGCCCUGAACAUCCUGAGAAACCUCCCUAAUGGCAGCAGAGCUGAAGUCCUCGAGGCGAAGCAGCAGCAGGAAGCAGCGAAUGCAUCUUUACAGGAAGCUCUGGAGCGUCUGGAGGAUUAUCGUGUGAAGCUGCAAGAGUCGUCUUCUGCGGUGGGCUCGGCUAAUAACAGCAUCAGGAGCACUAACCAGCUAGUCAGAGACUCAGAGG